GGGCUCGUAGUUCAGCGGUUAGAACGCGCGGUUCACAUCCGCGAAGUCGCUGGUUCGAUUCCAGCCGAGCCCA
rnacentral:tRNA from 1 species